rnacentral:misc_RNA from 1 species
GUAGGUAUUGCAACUUAAUUAUGAGAAAGCUUAUAGAUGAUAUUGUUUUGUUACUAAAUAUGAUAAUGUUUGAUUGGAUAAUUUAUUCACUUUGUUCUCUGGUUCGGUCUAAGCCAAGAAUCUGAAUAUUGUUAUAUUCCCAUAUGAAAUUAGAUUUUGAAGUGGCUUGAAUUUUCUGUAUUUUCUUUAUCAAUUCCUUCCUCAAAACCUACAAAAUUUUAUCAUCUUCUUUUAGGUAUCAGGAUGUCAACUAAUAUUUCGAUCCCAAAUCCAUUUAACCUAUACUCUCCACAGGUUUCCUUUCUAAUUCUAGCGUUUCUUUCUCGGUGCCAUAUGCUUUUUGGGCCUUCUGAUCUGUUCUAAGAUGCUGUAUAUUCUUAACUUGGUUGUAUCCAAUGCUAUUACAAUGACUGAAAUUUUACCUGUUACUGGGUCCUCAUGUUUAAUUUAGCACUUGAUACAAGAAAUGUAUUUCAUCAAUUCUCUGCAAUGGAAGGACUUCCAUUCUUUUGAAGGCAAAUUUUCUUCUUGUUUAUUGAUUCAUUUAUUUAUUUAGAACUUAGAAUUAAUGCUGAAAUUUAAGACUUUGUGAAGGCUAAAAUGAGUGGGAAUUUAGGUGUAGAAUUGAGGGUUUGUGAAAGCAUGGAACUAAGAGGAGAAAUUGACAAAGAAGAGAAUAUUUGUGGAUUGUAAUUGUAAACAAUAAAACAAAAGGUUUAGAAGGGUGUAGAUUUGGGAAGUAAAAGUAGUACAAGAAGCAGGGUUUUGGGUCUGUUUGCAAGACUGAAUUAGGCAAAGUGAACUAUAGAACAGUUUAGGCUUCACACUAAAAACUUCCUUAGGCAUCACACCCAAGGUUCUGUAGGAUCACACUUAGGGUUGAUUUGCAUCGCAAAACUCGAAGCAUAAUUGCCAUAAUUCAUCUUGAUCAAAGCUUUUUUAUGAUACUACAAACAUAGGUAUUUAUAGAGCCAAACGGUAAUCUUUAACCUUUAAGAUUUGAUUCCCAAAAGUAAACUUUAACCUUUUAAGUAAUCCAAAAAAGGUAAUCCUUACCCAACAAGGGAUCUAAAUAAAGAUUCCUAUAGAAUCUAGAUCUUUCCAGCAAAUCUGAAAUUACAAAAUUAUCCAUGUGACACAAAUAAGUAAAAUUUUAAAAGAACUAGAAAGUACUCUAAGCUUCUUGAGUAUUUGAGUAUGAAUGUUCUCAAAUUCCUUGGCUGCAUCAUCUGAAAUGCCUUGUUUUAUUAUUUCAUGCAUCACAUUAGUUAAGGGCAUGUCGAAUUUAGUCAAUCCUAUGUGUUUUAACACUGACAAAUCACAAACUUGAUGCGGAGACAUCAGAUAGUCAUUGAAGUGUGUUUUCUAGGAUCACAAUUGCAGUUUUAAUGAUAUCCCAAGUCCAAACUGAUUCAGUUUUUAUAAGAUAUGGAAUACCUUUUAGUUAUACUGCUUAUUCUGCAGCUUUCAUUGCUUGCUUCCUCCUUUUAUGCUUGUCUUUAGAAUUCAUGCUUUGCUGAUUUUGGUUGUCUUUACUAGAGUCAAGGACCACCCUAAAAUAAUUUAUAGUUUGCAAUUCAAUUUUCAAAAGAAGAUUUCUCUUAAUGGAUGCUGAAACAGGUAUGGUCAAGGACUCAAGUCUGAGGUUGGGGAGCAUAGCUUCAUCUCUGAAGCUUCAGGAAGCAACAGGAGUCUCCAGAUUGACUCGCAGCUAGACAGUGCAUGGCCUUUGAUGCAAUCCAGAGUCUCAUCAUUUGCCACGUCAAAGUCGGCUGAUAAUUCAAUGUUGCAGAAUGAUUAUCCCCAG